rnacentral:rRNA from 1 species
GAAGCAGCAACGCCGCGUGGAGGAUGACACUUUUCGGAGCGUAAACUCCUUUUCUUAGGGAAGAACAAUGACGGUACCUAAGGAAUAAGCACCGGCUAACUCCGUGCCAGCAGCCGCGGUAAUACGGAGGGUGCAAGCGUUACUCGGAAUCACUGGGCGUAAAGGACGCGUAGGCGGAUUAUCAAGUCUUUUGUGAAAUCUAAUGGCUUAACCAUUAAACUGCUUGAGAAACUGAUAAUCUAGAGUGAGGGAGAGGCAGAUGGAACUGGUGGUGUAGGGGUAAAAUCCGUAGAGAUCACCAAGAAUACCCAUUGCGAAGGCGAUCUGCUAGAACUCAACUGACGCUAAUGCGUGAAAGCGUGGGGAGCAAACAGGAUUAGAUACCCUGGUAGUCCACGCCCUAAACGAUGUAUACUCGUUGUUGCUCUGCUAGUCAGGGCAGUAAUUCAGCUAACGCAUUAAGUAUACCGCCUGGGGAGUACGGUCGCAAGAUUAAAACUCAAAGGAAUAGACGGGGACCCGCACAAGCGGUGGAGCAUGUGGUUUAAUUCGAAGAUACGCGAAGAACCUUACCUGGGCUUGAUAUCCUAAGAACCUCUUAGAGAUAAGGGGGUGCUAGCUUGCUAGAACUUAGAGACAGGUGCUGCACGGCUGUCGUCAGCUCGUGUCGUGAGAUGUUCGGUUAAGUCCGGCAACGAGCGCAACCCACGUAUUUAGUUGCUAACAGUUUGGCUGAGCACUCUAAAUAUACUGCCUUCGUAAGGAGGAGGAAGGUGUGGACGACGUCAAGUCAUCAUGGCCCUUAUGCCCAGGGCGACACACGUGCUACAAUGGCAUAUACAAUGAGACGCAAUAUCGCGAGAUGGAGCAAAUCUAUAAAAUAUGUCCCAGUUCGGAUUGUUCUCUGCAACUCGAGAGCAUGAAGCCGGAAUCGCUAGUAAUCGUAGAUCAG